rnacentral:rRNA from 1 species
GAGAUUGCCGUAAACGAUGGGCACUAGGUGUGGGGGGUAUCCACUCCUCCCGUGCCGCAGCUAACGCACUAAGUGCCCCGCCUGGGGAGUACGGCCGCAAGGUUAAAACUCAAAGGAAUUGACGGGGGCCCGCACAAGCGGUGGAGCAUGUGGUUUGAUUCGACGCAACGCGAAGAACCUUACCUGGGCUUGACAUCCCGGGAACCCCCUGGAAACAGGGGGGUGCCCCCGAAAGGGGGAGCCCGGAGACAGGUGCUGCAUGGCUGUCGUCAGCUCUGUCGUGAGACGUUA